GAGGGUAUAGCUCAGUGGUAGAGUGCAUGCUUAGCAUGCAUGAGGUCCUGGGUUCAAUCCCCAGUACCUUGU
rnacentral:tRNA from 1 species